AUGUGAGGGCGAUCUGGCUGCGGCAUCUGUCAACCCAUUGAUCGCCAGGGUUGAUUCAGCUGAUCUGGCUGGCUAGGCAGGUGUCCCCUUCCUCCCUCACUGUUCCAUGUGUGCCCCUCCAGAAGCUGUGCACUCAGUCGAAGAGGACAGCCUUCCCGGAAUAGAGAUGGACCGGUCUUCGGUUGAGGGUAUACGAGUAGCUGCGCUCCCCUGCUAGAACCUCCAAACAAGCUAUCUUUUUUUUUUUUUUUUAACUUGACCAUUAUAUUGGAUAUCUUUUGGAAUUUGUGUCCUGGG
rnacentral:snRNA from 1 species